CUCCUGCAACUAUUAUGUAAAACUGAAACAAGAUAACUAUAUCUAAAUAAAAUUAUACAUGUCUGUGGUCUGAUGUAAAAACUUUAAAAUGACAUGGAUACAAAAUUAAAUGUAAAAAACAAAAUUAGCGAUGAAACCGUUGAAAAAGCUUCGGUCAUUAAGAGGACUGUCAAAAGAUAACUACAAUAAAACAUAACUAGAGGCUCUCAAGAGCCUGUGUCGCUCACCUGGAUUUACUGAUGCUUUGGAAAUCAUGUAAAAAUGUGAAAUAAGGUUUAAAUCUUACUUAAUAGCAUUUGAUAUUAGAUAUUUUAAUGAUAUCUAAGAUAAUGACAAAAAACUGCAAAAUUUCUGUAAAAUUACUAAAUCAGGGACAGCAACACAACAACGGGUUGUCAGAUUCUUCUGAAAAUUUCAGAGCAGAUAAAUUUAAACCUGAUGAACAAUUUGGCCAGCUGUCAGAUUUGCAUUAAAUGCUUAGUUUCAGAUAUAUAAACCAAAAACUACAUUUUACCCCUAUAUUCUAUUUUUACCACGUCAGCCAUGAUGAUUGGAAGGCUGGGUCAUAGGACAAAUUUUAUAACUAAAUACCCAAAAAUGAAUAUGGCUAAGUAUGGUUAAAUUUGUCUCAGGAGUUUCGGAGAAGAAGAUUUUUGUAAAAGAUUCGAAAAUUAACGAAAAAUUGUUAAAAAUUGACUUUAAAGGGCAAUAGCCCCUAAAAUGAUCCACUGACAAUUUUGAUCAUGACAUCAUAUUUUUAGAUCUCACUUUGCUGAACAUAACUGCUGUUUACAGUUUACCUCUAUCUAUAUCAUUAUAUAAGAUAAUAACCAAAAACUGCAAAAUGUCCGUACAAUUAACAAUUCUAGAGCAGCAGGCCAACACCAGGUUGUUAGACUUGUCUGAAAAUUUCCGUGCAGAUACAUCUUGAUCUGCUAUUCAGUUUCAUCUAUAUCAGAUUUACUGUAAAAGCUUUGGUUUCAGAGCAAUAUGCCAAAAUCUACGUUUUACCCCUAUAUUCUAUUUUUGCCAUGGUGGCCAUCUUGGUUGGUUGGCGGGGUCAUCGGACACAUUUUUAAACUAUACCCUAAUGAUGGUUGUUUUCAAGUUUGGAUAAAUUUGGCUCAGUGGUUUCACAGAAGAUUUUUGUAAAAGCUAACGACAAUGGACGCCAAGUGAAGAUAACAUCUCACUUGGCCCAAUGUGAGCUAAAAACAAGAAUGUGUCCAAAGUACACGGAUGCCCACCCACACUAUCAUUUUCUAUGUUCAGUGGACCUUGAAAUUAGGGUUAAAUCUCUAAUUUGGCAUUAAUAUUAGAAAGACCAUAUGAUAUCAAAGGGAAGAUGUGUACUGAGUGUCAAGUUGAUUGGACGUCAACUUCAUCAAAAGCUACCUUGACCAAAAACUUUAACCUGAAGCAGGACGGAGGGAAGGACGGACAAAUGGACGAAUGGACACACAGACCACAAAAACAAUGCCCCUUUAAUAUCGUAGGUUUGGGCAUAAAAAGAAUACUAAUAUACAAAUAUUAUGUCUAAAACUAAAAAACAAAGGACAUCUUACUACUGAAUGGGAAAGAACAU
rnacentral:lncRNA from 1 species